rnacentral:rRNA from 1 species
GAUGAACGCUGGCGGCGUGCCUAAUACAUGCAAGUCGAGCGAACAGACGAGGAGCUUGCUCCUCUGACGUUAGCGGCGGACGGGUGAGUAACACGUGGAUAACCUACCUAUAAGACUGGGAUAACUUCGGGAAACCGGAGCUAAUACCGGAUAAUAUAUUGAACCGCAUGGUUCAAUAGUGAAAGACGGUUUUGCUGUCACUUAUAGAUGGAUCCGCGCCGCAUUAGCUAGUUGGUAAGGUAACGGCUUACCAAGGCAACGAUGCGUAGCCGACCUGAGAGGGGGAUCGGCCACACUGGAGCUGGGACACGGUCCAGACUCCUACGGGAGGCAGCAGUAGGGAAUCUUCCGCAAUGGGCGAAAGCCUGACGGAGCAACGCCGCGUGAGUGAUGAAGGUCUUCGGAUCGUAAAACUCUGUUAUUAGGGAAGAACAAAUGUGUAAGUAACUAUGCACGUCUUGACGGUACCUAAUCAGAAAGCCACGGCUAACUACGUG